CCUACGGGUGUGCAGCAGUGGGGAAUAUUGGACAAUGGGCGAAAGCCUGAUCCAGCCAUGCCGCGUGUGUGAAGAAGGCCUUCGGGUUGUAAAGCACUUUCAGUGGGGAAGAAAGCCUUGGGGCUAAUACCCUCGAGGAAGGACAUCACCCACAGAAGAAGCACCGGCUAACUCCGUGCCAGCAGCCGCGGUAAUACGGAGGGUGCGAGCGUUAAUCGGAAUUACUGGGCGUAAAGCGCGCGUAGGCGGUCUGAUAAGCCGGUUGUGAAAGCCCCGGGCUCAACCUGGGAACGGCAUCCGGAACUGUCAGGCUAGAGUGCAGGAGAGGAAGGUAGAAUUCCCGGUGUAGCGGUGAAAUGCGUAGAGAUCGGGAGGAAUACCAGUGGCGAAGGCGGCCUUCUGGACUGACACUGACGCUGAGGUGCGAAAGCGUGGGUAGCAAACAGGAUUAGAUACCCGGUAGUC
rnacentral:rRNA from 1 species